AUUGAACGCUGGCGGCAUGCCUUACACAUGCAAGUUGAACGGCAGCACGGGGCAACCUGGUGGCGAGUGGCGAACGGGUGAGUAAUGCAUCGGAACGUGCCAUUGAGUGGGGGAUAACGUAGCGAAAGUUGCGCUAAUACCGCAUAUUCUGUGAGCAGGAAAGCAGGGGACCGCAAGGCCUUGCGCUCUUUGAGCGGCCGAUGUCAGAUUAGCUAGUUGGUGAGGUAACGGCUUACCAAGGCGACGAUCUGUAGCGGGUCUGAGAGGAUGAUCCGCCACACUGGAACUGAGACACGGUCCAGACUCCUACGGGAGGCAGCAGUGGGGAAUUUUGGACAAUGGGCGCAAGCCUGAUCCAGCCAUGCCGCGUGAGUGAAGAAGGCCUU
rnacentral:rRNA from 1 species